CUGUGAGCCGAAUGGUUGUGAUUAAUUCAUACUUUCCUACGAACGUGAUGCCUUCUGAAUCACUGACACCUCGUGCAGCGAACUCUCUCUCUAGGGUCCCUCGCUCUCCCUCUCUCUCCCUCGUCCACCCUGCAUGCGAUCAGUAGCACCAGGUCCCUCUCUCUCCCGUGAACCCACGAGCAGCAACACCCUGCCCCUCUCUCUCCCAUGAACCCUAAACUCUCACUCUCCCUGCACGCGAUUAGCAACCCUAAGCUUGGUGACUCGCUCUUUUUCAUCACGUGCUACUAUUGUAAUCAACCAUUAUCAGCAAGGCCCUAACAAUGUCAUGUGAUUCUACAAGUAAUCAAGGAUGUACAUCUUGACAAUACCCUAAAUGCAAUAUAGAUUGUGCUACGAAAGCCUCGGCAACCCCAAAUAACCCAAACAAGAUGUACUAUGAGUGUCUACUAUGUGGGCUCUUCCAAUAGUGUGAUGAAUAUGUUACAGCUAUACAAAAUGUCAAUUUAAGGCAUCGCAAUACACAACAGUGGAAUUCAAUGCAUGAUUUACAAGAAAGUAUCAUGGUCAAUCAAAAAACAAGUGUCGUUCAUGAUACGAUACUCGAUGCUAUAGGACGCUUGCAAUAAUUCUUACUCAGUGCCUUUGAGCGUUUACAACAAUUAUUGUAUUUCUUGUAUAUAAUAAAUUUGUGUUUGCUUGCA